CCUACGGGUGGCAGCAGUGGGGAAUAUUGCACAAUGGGCGAAAGCCUGAUGCAGCAACGCCGCGUGAAGGAAGAAGGGUUUCGGCUCGUAAACUUCUAUCAACAGGGACGAAAGAAAUCACGGUCCCAGAAUAAAAAGCCCCGGCUAACUACGUGCCAGCAGCCGCGGUAAUACGUAGGGGACGCGCGUUGUCCGGAAUGUCUGGGCGUAAAGGGCGUGUAGGCGGCAGUAUAAGUUAGAUGUGAAAGCCCGCGGCUCAACCGCGGCACUGCUUCUAAAACUAUAUAGCUGGAGUGCAGGAGAGGGGAGUGGAAUUCCUAGUGUAGCGGUGAAAUGCGUAGAUAUGAGGAGGAACACCAGAGGCGAAGGCGACUCGCUGGACUGUAACUGACGCUGAGGCUCGAAAGCGUGGGGAGCAAACAGGAUUAGAUACCCGGGUAGUC
rnacentral:rRNA from 1 species